CGGACGUUAGCUCAGUUGGCAGAGCAGUUGACUUUUAAUCAAUUGGUCGCUGGUUCGAACCCAGCACGUUCGACCA
rnacentral:tRNA from 1 species